AUUUGGAUCUGGAGAUUGCAGAAGCCACAAAAGUUCUCUCUCGGAAAGAGAGGCUGGUGUGGAUUAUGCCAUCGCACAAAGGUAAAAGAAAAGCACUUGGGACUCCAGACGACUGACAUUCAACUGUCAUUCAGUUCGUACCCAAUUGGACAUUCAAUUGUGAAUGAAGGGCCUUCAAACUUUUUCAGUCCACUUUGGAGGAAAGAGAGAUGGAGCAAUGAACGUUGCAUUUUUAAGAUCAGUUAAGUACCAUAUUCAUUUAUUCAUGUACUUGGUUAUAAUUGCAAAGUAUAUAAUCAUUAUGGUGUAUAGUAUGGAGUUAUACAUUUUAAUUUUACUUAAUGCAUUUUAAUGUAGUAAGGACAAUGCAACAUUUAGAACUUUAGCUACGGUACUUUUAGCAUUGGUUAAAAAGGACACCAGUCUGC
ensembl:lncRNA